rnacentral:rRNA from 1 species
GCCAGACUCCUACGGGAGGCAGCAGUGGGGAAUAUUGCACAAUGGGGGAAACCCUGAUGCAGCGACGCCGCGUGAGUGAAGAAGUAUUUCGGUAUGUAAAGCUCUAUCAGCAGGGAAGAAAAUGACGGUACCUGAUUAAGAAGCCCCGGCUAACUACGUGCCAGCAGCCGCGGUAAUACGUAGGGGGCAAGCGUUAUCCGGAUUUACUGGGUGUAAAGGGAGCGUAGACGGUGAUGCAAGUCAGAAGUGAAAGCCCGGGGCUCAACUCCGGGACUGCUUUUGAAACUGUGUGACUGGAGUGCAGGAGAGGUAAGCGGAAUUCCUGGUGUAGCGGUGAAAUGCGUAGAUAUCAGGAGGAACACCAGUGGCGAAGGCGGCUUACUGGACUGUAACUGACGUUGAGGCUCGAAAGCGUGGGGAGCAAACAGGAUUAGAUACCCUCGUAC